AUUGAACGCUGGCGGCAGGCCUAACACAUGCAAGUCGAACGAGAGGCGGACGGGAGAGCUAUGUCUGGGACACGGACUGGUGGAGGGGGAUAACAAAUGGAAGCGGUAGCUAAUACCGCAUACCAUAGGCUGUGCCCAGUUGGGAGUAGAUUUUAGGUGGGGUAAAGGCACACCUAGGCGCCGAUCCCUAGCUGGUCUGAGAGGAUGCCCAGCCACACUGGAACUGAGACACGGUCCAGACUCCUACGGGAGGCAGCAGUGGGGAAUAUUGCACAAUGGGCGCAAGCCUGAUGCAGCCAUGCCGCGUGUAUGAAGAAGGCCUUCGGGUUGUAAAGUACUUUCAGCGGGGAGGCGUUACCCGCAGAAGAAGCACCGGCUAACUCCGUGCCAGCCGCCGCGGUAAUUC
rnacentral:rRNA from 1 species